CAGUCAACGAAUUUGAUUCCAUAACAUCUGCUUCCUUAUGAGCAUUAUCAUUUGUAAAAUGAUUCAUUUGUUCAUCAUCUAAUA
rnacentral:antisense_RNA from 1 species